rnacentral:misc_RNA from 1 species
UUAAUAAUAUUAGAAAAAUCAUUAAAAUCAUAUAAAAUCAAUUAAAAUUAUUAGAAAAAAGGCAGUCUUAGUUAAAUUAAUUAAAAAAAAUUAGAACUUUUAUUAAAAAAUAUAUUUUUAUUUAUAAAAAUGAAUUGAUUGAAGUUUGGAUGUUUAUACAAAAGAUGGACCUCACACUUGCUUAAACCACACACUUAAAUGUCUCAUAGGAGUGCGACCUUUUCAUUUUCAAAGGAAAAGCAUGUAGAUGCCCACAUUUGCUUUCACUUGAAAACCAUCCAUUAAAUAUGGGUUUUUUAUAUUUUUUAUUUUUUAAUCCUCAGCUUUGGUCUGAUAUAAGUGACUGAAUAGCACUUGAAAGCUUGGUAACAGCCACAGCAAGACUGGCCAUUCCUUGUCGGUUCACUUCAUUUCUGGUUUCUUCAAGCUGAAGUCUACGUUGUUCGAACUCCAUUAGUUGUUGAUGUCGCUUGUCUUUCUUUUCUUCGCAGUUUCUGAUUGUUUGGGCCAAGAUGGAAGCACUGUGCUUGAUGCUUGCACCUAUACUCCCAACUUUCCUUCUUUUUGCGGCUGUGUCAAGUUUAUCGCUUGAUUCCGUCGCUGAUGAUUCUGAUCCUUCUGAAACCGCCGUGGGAUCCAUCGCCGGUUCCGGCGGAGCUUCCCGGACUGUCUCUGGAGUUGGAGAAGCAGCAACAGCAACUGAAAGUUGCCUCUGCUGUUGCUGUUGUGGAGUAGUAGCUAUGUUUUGUUGUGUAUUAAGAUGUCUUCUUUGAACUACUUCAUUAAGAGCUUCAAAUACCUCGAGGGACAUAUUGGAAGGGAGAUUGUAGUAUUUGCGCUGCUGUCUCUCCAUGGUCCAGUAGGAAGGGAAGGAAUCAGAGUCGUUGGAUCUCGAUUGAUACUCUCGGAUUUUCUUAUAGUCGCGGAGGAGAUUAUCCCACUUGUCAUUGCAUUGGUUCUGGCUGCGGAAGCAACCAUUGGCCCAGCAGUAGUUCUCCACCCAUUUCCACCGGAGCUCACCGGGCUUGGAUGUUGAAGGGACGGAGGCUUUAGAGCGGCGCUCGUCGUCCAGUUUCUUGGCGGUGAUUAGGGUUAGGGUUUCUUGGAUUGUCCAGUUACCUUUGCGGUAUUCGCGGUUGGUGAUGGAGGUAGUGGUAGUGGUGGUGGCGAGAAGUGAGGGCGGUUGUGGUGGUGGUGGUAGGGGUGGAAGUGGUUGUGGGAUUGGGGUUGGGGUUGGAGGUUGGGACAUAAGGUAUGGGCAUAUGAUGAGAAUAGAGGAAGAGGGAAAGAAGGAAAGGGUAGAGAGGAGAGGUGAUAGAUUGUGGUUUUUGUUAUUUUGUGGAUUUCAAAAGAGAGAUGGUGGUGGUGGUGGUGGAGGGGGAGGAGACCUGUAAAAGCUCUUCUUCCUGACAAAAUCC